rnacentral:rRNA from 1 species
GAUGAACGCUGGCGGCGUGCCUAAUACAUGCAAGUCGAGCGAACGGACGAGAAGCUUGCUUUUCUGAUGUUAGCGGCGGACGGGUGAGUAACACGUGGAUAACCUACCUAUAAGACUGGGAUAACUUCGGGAAACCGGAGCUAAUACCGGAUAAUAUUUUGAACCGCAUGGUUCAAAAGUGAAAGACGGUCUUGCUGUCACUUAUAGAUGGAUCCGCGCUGCAUUAGCUAGUUGGUAAGGUAACGGCUUACCAAGGCAACGAUGCAUAGCCGACCUGAGAGGGUGAUCGGCCACACUGGAACUGAGACACGGUCCAGACUCCUACGGGAGGCAGCAGUAGGGAAUCUUCCGCAGUGGGCGAAAGCCUGACGGAGCAACGCCGCGUGAGUGAUGAAGGUCUUCGGAUCGUAAAACUCUGUUAUUAGGGAAGAACAUAUGUGUAAGUAACUGUGCACAUCUUGACGGUACCUAAUCAGAAAGCCACGGCUAACUACGU